GUAGUGCUGAAUAAAAAAGUGCCUACAAGAACAAAUACUUCACAUCAGAGAAUCAGAUUAGCAAAUGAAAAACCAUUUUCACUUUAACAUUCUCAUGAUUCUAAUAGAAACAGAUUUCUUAGUUGCCAAUAUUCUAAAAAAUUUAGAGACAUAUUGGUAAAAUAAGAUACUAAGAAUGGAAUGAAACUUGGUUAUUUUCGACCAAUUGCAACUGAUGGACUAAGAAUGGAUUCCUUUCUCUUCUUCACUUUUUCAAUGAGUCUUCAAACUCUUGGGAUUAUUAAAGUAUUUCUUAGGUAUUGAAGUUAUGAGAAGUAA
rnacentral:misc_RNA from 1 species